GACCGAUAGCGAACAAGUAGAGUGAUCGAAAGAUGAAAAGCACUUUGAAAAGAGGGUUAAACAGCACGUGAAAUUGUUAAAAGGGAAGCGCUUGUGACCAGACUUGCGUCCGGUGAAUCACCCAGCUCUCGCGGCUGGGGCACUUCGCCGGCUCAGGCCAGCAUCAGCUCGCUGUCGGGGACAAAAGCUUCAGGAACGUAGCUCUCUUCGGGGAGUGUUAUAGCCUGUUGCAUAAUACCCUUCGGCGGGCUGAGGUACGCGCUCCGCAAGGAUGCUGGCAUAGUUAAC
rnacentral:rRNA from 1 species